rnacentral:misc_RNA from 1 species
GUUUGCCGAGCGUUUGGUACUGCCUCAGUAUAAACAUCUUCCACUAGCAGAGGUGAAAGAGCACCACAGAAGGGAUGGGUUUGAAGUAGGAAAUGCUGAUAAGAUCUUUGAAAGUACUUCCAAACAGCAGCAAACAGCAAACGCUUGAAACCAAAUUGCUACAAAGGAAGGGCAUUUGGAGGUUUAAAUGUGAUGUGGAAGUAGGAAUUCCACACCUCUAAAAGUUGUUAUAUAUUCUCAAUUUAAAUUAUUGUUGCUAAUCU